GAAACACCCACAAGCCUAAAUUUUGCGUAACAGGAUGAGCAAUCCACUGAUCUACACCCUGUUUCCCCUUCUAGAACGUGGGUCGGUUCAGUUUGUUUUAAGAUCAGUGUUUUUUAUUUUUUUAAAGAGAACCGCCCAACUGGUCGAGUUGAGUGAGUUGUUGUGAGUGAGAGUGAGCAGCACCGACCUCUUGAGAGACCAUACCACAGCCCGGCGAGGCGCAGUGUUCAGAAGAGUUGGUAACUCUAGACAAGGACUGGUAGGGUUGACGAGAGGACGCAGGGCAGGCAUGGGUUGCAGCCACAGCAAGAAAUAAGUACUUAAAGAGGUACUGCAAACCAAGCCACUGGCGAGCUGUAUAGCAGCGUCUGCAGAGCAGAUCACAAAACCAUCUGUUUGGCUGGUUGACGUAGGCAACUGGAGAAGUGUGAAGGUCUGCUAGAGAGGGCUCUACAAGAGAAGCCUGAAGAGAGACACACACACACACAGCAAUAUGGGUCUCCAUACGGCCCAUGAUGAAAAUGCCACAUGAAGAGACUCCUCCUCAGCCAAGUGUUAAUGGCAUAUCACGGAACAUGUGUUUCUCUGCUUGAAAGACUCAACCACAGUCUAAAUUAAAUGUCCUUUAACUAA